UACGGAGGGAGUUAGCGUUGUUCGGAAUUACUGGGCGUAAAGCGCACGUAGGCGGCUAUUCAAGUCGGGGGUGAAAGCCCGGGGCUCAACCCCGGAACUGCCCUCGAAACUAGAUAGCUAGAAUCUUGGAGAGGCGAGUGGAAUUCCGAGUGUAGAGGUGAAAUUCGUAGAUAUUCGGAAGAACACCAGUGGCGAAGGCGACUCGCUGGACAAGUAUUGACGCUGAGGUGCGAAAGCGUGGGGAGCAAACAGG
rnacentral:rRNA from 1 species